rnacentral:rRNA from 1 species
GUGAACCUGCGGGAGGAUCAUUG